rnacentral:rRNA from 1 species
UGACAUGGCGCGGGGGGGUCGUGACAAGACAUAACGAGGCGGGGCUUCUCGCCUUGUAAUUGGUGGGAUGGUAACCUUCUUCCCGUCCAGCAUAUCAAGGGGAGGUCAAGUCUCAUCACAGCAGGCGCGGUAAUUUCCGCUACAGUAUAGUAUAAUAAAAUUAUUGCAGUAGAUAAGAUCGUAGUUUAUUUUCCGCCGCAUCGUGUCCGCCCUCCCGGGCCCAGCGUUGCGGUUUUUUUCGGUCUCGCUUGCUUCUCCGAAUGUUUACUGUGAGAAAAUUAGAGUGCUCAAAGCAGGCCCUCGCCGUGUAUACUAUAGCGGGGUAUAAUAAAGUAGGACUUUGCUUCUAUUUUGUUGGUUUAGCGCCAAAGUAAUGAGUAAUAGCAACAGUUGGGCGCAUUCGUAUUUAACUGUUAGAGGUGAAAUUCUAAGAUCUUAGA